GCUGGGUGUGGUGGCGCACACCUGUAAUCCCAGUUACUCAGGAGGCUGAGGCAGGAGAAUCGCUUGUACCCGGGAGGCAGAGGUUGCAGUGAACCAAGAUUGUGCCUCUGCAGUCCAGCCUGGGUAACAGAGUGAGACUUCCUGUCUCAA
rfam:Pan troglodytes isolate Yerkes chimp pedigree #C0471 (Clint) chromosome 11, whole genome shotgun sequence.